UGUUUGUUCGCCAUUUUAUUUGUUUACGAAGUGUUACAUUUAUUAUGAUCUAAAAGAUUCGACUUCUAAUUGUCAUCAGCAUUUAUUAACAACAUAGAUGAUUCAUGGUGUAAUUGUUUAAUAUACUUGAUGACAAAUUUAUGAUGCUUGAUAUGAGAUGUCAAAUUAUAUCAGAUUAUAAAUUUACAACAUACGAUAAUAGUGCGAGUAUAUUUUGCAAUUAGUGUCGUAUCUACGCUUUCAACAUUUUCCACAAAGGAAAAUGUGGAUUUAUUUUAUAUUAGCCGUUUUCGGCAUGUUUGACUUUGCAAUGGCUUCCAGUGGAUUUGAUUUCGGCGACACCCUAGCAUUAAUUCUGGGCUUAAUCAUCGGGAUUGUCGGAUUUUUCGCUUGCAUGGGGGCUUAUGCAAGGAGGCGUAAUCACUUUGAAUCUUUGUAAUGAAUUGCAACAUUAUUGCAACAUUUGUAAAUAUGUUUAAUGGUAGGUAAACAAUAUACACUCCUAUAAAUAUGGAAAACAAGAAAUCCAACCUGUCAAGAAACAUAAA